CUAUCCCCUCAGCAGAAGUGAUCUGAAAAACAUGGCAGAAGGGAGAUGAUGAGCUGAAUAAGCUUCUAGCCAGCUAAUAAGGUAAUCAGAGUAUUUAGAAACAUGGGAACUGUGACAUCCAUGAUUAAGGGCUGGAAGAAAACUCAGGAAGAUGCAUCAGCCUGAAGUGUGGGAAUAAAAAUGCAUCAUCCAGCAAAUCAGAGGGGGAUCAUCAGAAGUACAUUCCAAUCAGCAGCAUGAACCACAAAGAGUGCCCAGCAAUUGGUGCUAUCCACCCAAAAGAAGCCAACUCAAAAGAGGAGGAAAAUGAAGGCAGGAAGAGGCAAAGCAUGUUCUGCAAG